GGGUGUAUGGCUCAGGGGUAGAGUGCCUGCCUACCAAGUGCAAAGCCCUGAGUUCAAAUCCCAGUACCACCA
rnacentral:tRNA from 1 species